CAAAUAUAAGGAUAUAUAUAAAGGAAUUGAUGUAGCCAAAUUAUGUAUUUAAAUUAGGCUUGCUUGGCUCUCUGCCCUGCACACAAGUGCUUUAGAUGGAUGCAUAAUUUUCAUAUUGUUUUAUAAUUAUUAGGUAAAACUAUCGACUUGGUAAAGUAUUUGUCAAAUCGAGGUUCUUCUUUCUUAUGUAUGUAUAUGUGUCUCUCUGUGUGUGUGUGUGUGUAAAGAGAAAGACAGAAUAAUAAAAGAAAAAGAAAAGAAACUUCCAUCCAAGAACUUUCUGCGAAGACCAUUAUUCUUAAAAACAUGAUAUUAUUUGUAGGGUUGUGAUUUAUGCCCAUGCCUUAUAAUUUUUUUUGUUUUCUUUAACUGAAGAAGCAUAAGCAAAGUUUGAAGGGUUGCUCAAACUUUCAAGAACGUAGCAGGUUGAUGGUGGCGGAUGGCAAUGGCAAAAGUUGGCUUUCAUAUCAAUUGAUGUAAAACAUUAGAUUGUCAAUCCCAAAUAAGUUUUUAAGUUGACCAAAACUAAUCAUACCAUUAGGCCAUUUCCCUUAUGCAAAGAAGUAAAAUAGAAAUUUAUUAACUAAUUUUUCUAUUCCUUAAAACUUCUAUAGGUGUUUAAUAUUAGCAUGCUCCCAAAGUUGGAAUGCUU
rnacentral:misc_RNA from 1 species